AGCACUCAAUGGCAAAGUAAACCAUCAGGAGCAACAACCCAGAGUAAACAAUCGAGUGAUAGGCAUAUCAAAAAUUGCUUGGGGACAAGGAAACUUCCUGUGACCCAAGUUUAUGUCAUGACUUUGCAUUUUAUCUCAAGUAUAAAACUACUGGUGGGGUAUUUAUCUGUUGACCUGGAAGACUUGUAUAUGUGCAAGCAACAAGUAACGAAAGGGCGGAUUAUUAUGCUAAAAUGGGGGUGUAUAGAACAAAUGAUUGUGUGGAUAUGACAGUGUGUAUGGAGGGACACCCUCACUUGUGUUUUGAGGGUAUGGUAUUAUGAUUCUGCUUCCUCGGGGGAUAAUCUAUUAUACAUUGUCUGUGUUUUCCAAUGCUAGAGGGAGUUUAGACCUUAUCCUGUUGUCAACUGGGAGCAGCGAAGAGUGCAUAGAGAUGUAAGAGGGGAAAACAGCCCAGCAGGUUAUCUUUGCUUCUCUUACUUGUUCUGCAUUUUGAGAGACGCUAUGCUAGACAUCUGGUCUGGCUCUUUUCGAUGUGUAAUGUUUGUUUUCUUUUGUUAACAUGGCCUCCAUGAUUAGGGAGUUUUUGUUGCAGGGGAUGUAUAGUUCACAGGCUAUUGAUAUCGGUUGUGUUUCUGUAAGCCAGUCAAUCGACAGUUUUCUAACUGUUAAACCUCAGCUGAAUACAGUCUUUUUUGUACGUAAAAGAGUUCUUCUUUCUGCAAUGAAUCAAAGUUAAUUUUCAGAAAAAAAAAGGGUUUUCAUUGCAUCAAAUUUGGUUCAAUUUGGAAGAUUAUUUCUCCGAGUUAUUGGAUCUUGUGCUUCCUCCCUCUCCCUCCCAGAUGCAUGUUUUUAUUUUUGUUCUUUCAGCUACUUAUAAUUUCACUUGUAUCAGUUCAUUACAUCUCAUGUUCAUAUAUGCUAACCUUGAUUAACUCAAUCCAAUUUAACACUGAUUUUUUUCUUUUUGGAAUGGCUGUUGUACUGUAUAUUAAUAUAAAGUUGCACUCUUAGGCAAGAUGUUUGCAUGUUUGAAAGUGAAGAGGCAUGAAGAUGGAGUUGAUCAGACAUUUUUACCAAAAAAAAAAUGGAGGGCGUUUAUUAGAGGAGAUUAUCGCCUUAUGUAAUGGCAAAUCUAAGCCUAUCCGUCAUUUUUCUGCAAACGAGCUUUUGAGAGCAGCAAACUAUUAUGAUACACAUUAGAUUUUUGUGAAAGAUUGUGGCUAUAAAUUGUACAAAGGCUCUCUAAAAGACCUUUCAGUUUUUGUGAAGAAGUAAGAGACUGACUCUAUGUUAGGAUAGUCUUGAAUUGUGAUUUAAUUAAGAUUGUUUAAUUCUAAUUAAACUAAUAUACCUUAUUAAAUAGUCUUUAAAUCUAGUUAAACUAGAAUAACAAUUCCUAAUUCUAUUAGGAUAAGAUUCCUAAUUAUAUUAGGAUCAGGUUAUUGUAUUUGAUACUAUAAAGGGACCCUAUGGGUUAAAGAAUAAUAAUCACCUAGAUUUAGAGAGAGUGAUUUUGGUGUACGUGGGAUAGGGGUUAUGAGUUUGAGACUGUUUCUUGUAAAUAUCCUGAUUUUUUCUCUUAGUGGAUUUUUCUCUGUUAUUGUGCCCGUGGGACGUAGGUCAUCAAAGACCGAACCACGUAAAUUCUUGUGUUCUUGUGGGUGUGCUUGAUUUCUUCCUUUCUUUAUUCUAUUGAUUGGAUAAGAUCUUGGAUAACUCUUUAAAGAUAAUUUCACAAUUUUCACAACAAAUUGGUAUCAGAGCUUCAAGGUCUUUGGUCAAUCUGAAUCUCGCUAUGACAACUUCGUAGACCAAGUAUGAGAUUGAAAAGUUUAAUGGAAGAAACGAUUUCAGUUUGUGGCGUGUUAAGAUGCGCGCAUGGCUAGUGCAACAAGGACUGUUGAAGGCACUAAAGGGAAAAGAACAUCUUCCCUCGAAUUUAUCUGAUAGUGAGAAAGAUGACUUUAUGGAAAAAGCACAUAGUGCUAUUCUCCUUGCUUUGUCUGAUGAGGUGCUAAGAGAAGUCACGGAUGAAGAAUCGGCUGCUGCAGUGUGGUUUAAACUCGAAGGUAUUUAUAUGACCAAGUCCUUGACGAAUCGGCUUUAUAUGAAGCAACGAUUGUAUACUCUCAAAAUGAGUGAAGGUACGUCCGUUAAUACCCAUAUUGAUGAAUUUAAUAGAGUUAUACUUGAUUUAAAGAAUAUCGAUGUUAAAAUUGAGGAUGAAGACUUAGCCAUAAUUCUUUUAUGUUAUUUGCCUCCAUCGUAUGAAAAUUUCGUGGAUACUAUGCUUUGCGGCCGAGACACUCUCACUUUCGAGGAUAUAAGGGCAUCUUUAAAUUUCAAGGAAUUAAAGAAGAAAGUUGGUGGUAUUCGGAAUGAAAAUCAAGCAGAAGGUUUGGUUGUAAAUAGAGGUAGAGGUAAAGAGAAAGGCUUAGACAGAAAAGGUAAAUCUAGAGCAAAAGGGAAAACUUGCUGGAAUUGUGGUCAGAAAGGGCAUUUUCGUCAAGACUGUAUCAAAUUCAAGGAUGAUGAAAAGUUUAAUAAGUCUGAGAAUACUGCAAACGUGGUUGGAGAUGACUUUGAUACUUUUGAGGAAACUGAUAAUGUUCUUGCAAUUACUAAUUGUAACCUGAUGGAUACAUGGAUCUUGGAUUCGGCUUGUUGCUUUCAUAUAUGUCCUAGGCGUGAUUGGUUUACAACUUAUCAAUCUGUUAAUAUGGGCACUGUACAAUUAGGAGAUGAUUUCUCUCUCUCAGUUGUUGGAAUUGGCACAAUUAGAAUCAAGAUGUUUGAUGGUAUGGUAAGAACACUUGAGGUAAAACAUGUCCCUGACAUGAAAAAGAAUUUAAUAUCCUUGAGUUUGUUAGAUAAGAAGGGCUACAAAUAUAGUGGCCAAGAUGGUGUCUUGAAUGUAUCUAAAGGAGCCUUAACUAUCAUGAAGGGCAAGUUAUCCGGUGACCUUUAUUGUCUAGUGGGAAACACGGUCAUUGAAACUGUUUCUGUGGUCUCAUCUAAUGAUCCUGAAGAUGAUGUAACACGUUUAUGGAAUAUGAGAUUUGGUCAUAUGAGCGAGAGAGGGAUUAGAAAACUAAGUAAGCAUAGUUUGCUGUGUGGUCAAAAGAGUGGAAAGCUAGAUUUCUGUGAGCAACGUAGAGUGAAAUUUAGCACUAAAACUCAUCAAACCAGGGGUACAGUAAACUACAUCUAUUUAGAUUUGUGGGAUCCUUCUCCGGUGGUAUCAAAAGGUGGAUCAUUAUACAUGUGGAUCUUUAUUGAUGAUUUUUCAAGAAAGGUGUGGACGUAUCUUCUAAAGGCUAUGAGUGAAGUGUUAACCACCUUUUUGCAUUGGAAGGUAUUGAUCGAGAAGCAGACUAAGAAAAGGAUCGAGAGCUUUCGAACAAACAAAGGUUUGAAAUUUUGCAAAGGUGAGUUUGGUCUAUUCUACAAGAAUGAGAAAAUCGUUAGACAUCGCACUGUCGACAAAACACCAUAUCAAAACGAUAUUGUAGAAUUGAUGAAGAAAACACUUUUGGAGAGAGCAAAAUACGUGUUCUCAAAUGUUGGCCUAACCAAAGUAUUUUGGACAGAAGCUAUCAACAAGGCUUGUUACUUGGUAAAUCGGUCUCCAUCAACUGCAAUUGAAUUUAAGACUCCCAAGGAAGUUUGGUCUGGUAAGCCUGCUGAUUAUUUUAUAUUGAGAGUAUUUGGUUGUCCUGUUCAUGUUCAUGUGAGUGAUGGUAAACUUGAGUUGAGGGCGACAGAGUGCAUAUUCCUAGGCUAUGCAUAUGGGGUGAAGGGUUAUUGGUUGUGGUGUACUGAUUGUAAGUUCCCCAAGUUUAUGGUGAGUCGGGAUGUUACCUUUGACAAGUCUGCAUUACUUUGUGGGAUAAAGUCUAGAAUUGCAAACACAUCAGACCAAGAAGUUGGCAAGCAGGUGGAGCUUGAAAUCAAUGCUCUUGUGACAGUGCGAGAUGAUAGUGAAAUCCAGAAAGAAUUGCAAGAGGUACAAGAAUUGGUAUCUCAACGAAGCAUUACUUGUAUUGAUGGUGAUUUUGAUUCUUAUGUUUUAUUUGUGGAAGUAGAGAUUGAAGAGCCUUACUUUUAUCAUGAGAAAAUUAUAUAUGUCGAGUCUUCUAAGAAGAUUGAGUCUCUACACUGGGAUCAAACAUGGGAGCUUGUGAAAACACCUAAAGUUACUAUUGAAGUUGGCUUAGUGUGUGAAGGAGGUGCAAACAUUAGUCGUAAUGUGGUUGGCUUCUCCAAAUCAGAUUUUGCUGGUGAUCUAGAUAGUAGAAGAUCUCAAACGGGGUAUGUGUUCACUCUCUCAGGAUCUGCAAUCAGUUGGAAAGCAGUUCUUCAAUCAACCUUUGCUUUGUCUACAACUGAAGCUGAAUAUAUGGCUGUGACCGAGGCAGUGAAGGAGGCUUUGUGGCUUAAAGGCUUGGUUAGUGAUCUUGGUUUUGAACAAACACAAACAGUUGUGUUUUGUGAUAGUCAAAGUGCUAUACAUUUGACUAAAAAUCAGAUGUUUCAUGAGAGAACCAAACACAUCCAAGUCAAGUGUAACUUCGUUCGAGAGAUUAUUUCUAAAGGUGAGAUUGUAGUAAAGAAAAUAGCUACAGAUGAAAAUCCGGCAGAUAUGCUAACUAAGUCAGUUUCUGGGAUAAAGUUCAAGCAUUGCUUGGACUUGAUCGGUGUUCGUAGUGCUUGAGGCCCAUUGGGGCAGUGGCGGUGUCGACAGAGAUUGGUUCGUAAGGUGGAGCUUGGUGAAUUCAAGCCUAAGGUGGAGAUUUGUUAGGAUAGUCUUGAAUUGUGAUUUAAUUAGGAUUGUUUAAUUCUAAUUAAAUUAGUAUACCUUACAAAAUAGUUCUUAAAUCUAGUUAGAUUAGAAUAACAAUUUCUAAUUCUAUUAGGAUAAGAUUCCUAAUUAUAUUAGUAUAAGGUUAUUGUAUUUGAUACUAAAAAAUGGACCCUAUGGGGUUAAAGAAUAAUAAUCACCUAGAUUUAGAGAGAGUGAUUUAGGGGUACGUGGGAUAAGGGUUAUGAGGUUGAGACUGUUUCUUGUAAUCUCCUGAUUUUUCUCUUAGUGGAUUUUUUUCUGUUACUGUGCCCGUGGACGUAGGUCAUCAAAAGACCGAACCACGUAAAUUCUUGUGUUCUUGUGGGUGUGCUUGAUUUCUUUCUUUCUUUAUUCUAUUGAUUGGGUUAGAUCUUGGGCAAUUCUUUAGAGAUAAUUUCGUAAUUUCCCAACACUCUAGAUGGAGUUCUCCUGCAGCCAACCCUUAAAAAGAUACUAGUGAAUACUCUACUCGUCAGUCAUUCCCUAAAAUUAAUGGAUGCAUAUUUGAUAUUAAGCAAAUCUCUGGUUAUCAAUUUAUUAAUCAUUAGAAUGAUAUUGCAGGUUCAGGUUCAAGUGGAAAUGGUGCAAUCAUACACUUAUAAACCUGAACCAGAAAGCUCUAGUGUUGCACAUCCCAAUAAACUGUUCCUAUUGGCUAGUGGAGCUCAAUAUGUUUUGAUGUACCAACUGACAUAACAAAGACAGUACAUUUUGGUGAACCAAUUGGCAAAAAACAAAAGAAUGUUUCACCCCAGUUCUGAAGGUGCUGCUUUUGUUUUGAUCUAUACUUGUUGGUAGCAUAGGAGCCCCAUAUAUGAACUACAAACUAAAUGUUAGUUGGUCUACAGCCAUGCACUAGAAACAAUUUAAACAACAUGGAGAUUAAAGGUUAAAAGUUAAAUUAUGAGAAACCCCUCUACCUACUGUUAGAGAAGCUUGUUCAUUGACUUUUAAUUAGCCCAAUGAUUGGUGUUCUAUGAUCUUUUCAUUAAAGAAUGUAUCUGUCUUACAAGUUUUUCAACUAGCAACCAGCAUCCAAGAAUUAAUAUAAAGAUUUACGCCUUCAAAAAAAAAAAAGCCAACAUCCAAGAAUAUAUGAUAUCUAACAUAUCCAACCUCUAUUUUCUGAAGAAACAAGAAUCCAAUUUAUAGAAAACUAUUCCACCAUUAGAAGAAGCACAAUAUUCUCCUCACUCUAUUCCAGAGGUGAAUGUUUUUUGUUCCCUACAUGAAAUUUCUCAAAAAAAAAAAAAAAAGCCAACAUCCAAGAAUGUAUGAUAUCGAACACAUCCAUCUUCUGUUUUCUGAAGAAACAAGAAUCCAAUUUAUAGAAAACUAUUCCACCGUUAGAAGAAGCACAAGAUUCUCCUCACACUAUUUCAGAUGUGAAUGAUUUUUGUUCCCCUGCACAUGAAAUAUCUCAGAAAAAGAAAAAAAAAAGCCAACAUCCAAGAAUGUAUGAUAUCUAACAUAUCCAUCCUCUGUUUUUUGAAGCAACAAGAAUCCAAUUUAUAGAAAACUAUGAGGUGAACGUUUUUGGUUCCCCUAUAGUUGAAAUUUCUUUAAAAGAAAAAGGAAAGAAAAACACAAGAAGCAGGCAAGAGCAGCUUACAUUUUUUUCUUUCUUUUGCCAUAUCCUUGGCCUCCAUUUUACAUUUCCUGGUGGCUUCAUCCUUCUUGCACAGCUCUGCGGUGUGUCUAUUUGGAUAGCUAUCCUCUCUUCUCGUGAAAUCAGAGAAGUUACGGCUACAAGUCUUCACGACAGUAUCGUUGUCCUUUGUUCUCUUACUCUUAGGGUCACCUCUCUCAUUCGUACUUGUCGGUUCUUUCUUCCAUUUCUUCUUAGAUUGCAUUGAAGAAGCACCUUUGGAUGAUGCUGAUUUGGAUGGGAAGCUUUUCUUGCCUUCUGACCCUGCCAUGUCAAUCUUGGAGUUUAAUAGGUGGAAUCUUGAGAGAGAGAAUUGUUGACGUAUAACAUGUCAAUUCAGGGCCAGUAUGAUCUUUAACAAAUUAAUAAUACAUAUUGGUAUGUAUAUAUCAUUUAAGAUAACAAGAAAAUAUGAGAACGACGCCGUGCCAAAAGACUAACUGGAUUUACAUAUGUUUACAUGCAAACAAUCCAUCUACUGCUCUUGGAAGUACCCCUUUCUUCUAUUUAUCAGAUUCCAAGAUGUUUGGUCCCUGAAAAUGAGGUAAGUAUCAUCACCCAUGAAAUUCGAUUUAAUUCAUAACUUUAAUUAACUGGACCACAUUCAUGCAUUCAUCAUAUCAUCUCUGUACUGUAUGUCUUCCCUGCCCCUGUCCGGCACCAAUACAAAAGGAAAGACAAUCAAAGAGAUAGAGUUAAAUCUAUCCACAACUAAAUAAACGAGCAAUCAAAAAUGUCUAGACAAUGAAUCCAAGCAUUUGACUGGUAAGUUAGUGCAUAAUCUCUCUCAGAGUUUGAAUUCCCUUUCUUCGAAUUCCAAAAAAAAAAAUUAAAACAAUGUGUUACAUUAACACUAUCUACUAGAAUUUACUAACAACCAUAGAAAAAUUAGUAACUUAAAACUAUCGAGUUUAAAGGUCCUUUAGCCUAAUGCUUUGAAGGGAUGUCCAAAACACUUCUCACCAUUUAAGUUCUUUAUUGAUUAUCAACAAAGUAAUCAAUGAUAUUAAACAACAUUUGAAACCAAAUACUCCAAACAAAUCAACGAUACAAAAUUCUUAACCGCGGUAUUUAAUUAGCCAAUAUAUAAUUCUUAAAAUACACUUUUUUCCUUAAUCAUGGUUUUUGUCCUGCUUAGUUUUUUCAUGAUAAAGUUUAUAAUGAGGCUUUAAAGUCAUGUAAUAGAGGCCGUUGUAAUGAAAGGGUCUGUUAAGAGGUCUUAUAGGUAUGUAAUUGGUCUUAAAAAUUAAUGAAAUUCACCUUUUCUUCUUUAAAAAAAAAAUAAUAAUAUAGCUUACCUGUCCGUACACAAUGAUUGUUCCAUUGGUUGCAUUGACAGCAUCUGCUUCAAAAGAAAAAGAAAUACAUAUAAAACAGUUGAUCAAACCAUGAAAUUGCAGAAAUCAAUCAAUAAACAGGUUUCCCGUACUCAGAUACAGUAGGUAGAACAAGAAACUCGUACAUAUGAUCAGCUUGCAUAGAUUUGUCAUAAAACACCUUACCAAAGCUAAACGUAAAGCCUUCUUCCUUAUCAUCCUAUCAUAUAUAAACUCGAAUCACUAAACUGAAUUCUCUUCAAGUUUUUAUCAUUUAUUUUUGAAAGUUUUUAUAAAACAAAAGGUAAUACAAACUCGAAUCACUAAACUGCUGCACCAGUUGCCUCUGUUGCCGUCUUGACUGCUAGUUUAACUAAUCCCUGCUACCUAAAGACGCUGUCACAACCCAGUUGUUAAAUGCAUGAAAUUUUGUAUAAGCAUUUUGCUCUCACCGCCUGCAAUUUAGAUUCCCCAUCCCGUUUAAUAUCCAUCUCAGAGCUGACUGUCUUAUCCAAACCAUUUCCAUACUCCCGUUUAGAACUUUACCCCCGAUCAGUUUUAUUCUUUUUUUUUUUUGCAAAAAAAAAAAGGAAUUCCAUUGAAAGCAGAGGGAACAGUGUUCAUCAUCUAGGUUGUUAGAAGAGAAUUUUGGCCAGAAGAACUAAUUGAUUCACUCUCUUUGGCCGAUGAGUUUUAUUCUGAUGCUAUACUGGUGCAAAAUAUUUGAUUCACUCUCUUUUAACAUUUUUGGCCGGUGUCUUGUGGAGCUUAUAGUUUUUGUUGGUUCAAUUCAAUGCAUAGCUUACCAUUGCUGCUUGGAUGGGAAUUUGUACCUUCAUUUGCUAAUAUUCUACAUCAUUCCACUACAUAAUUUCAACCGCUGUCGAUGGGAAUAUUACUCGCUGGAUGUAUGGUUCCAGAGAUGAGCAUAAUGCUCCAGGUCACUGGUAUACUACAAUGCUUUAUAGUUCGCACCACCCUUGCCUUAAGAGCCGAGUGUAUAGUUUUGAUAGCAAUCUUUUGUUAUAUUGAAUAAUUUUUAUUAGAUUGAACCAUGUAGAAUUAAUUCACUUUAUAAAAGAAAAUCCAAUCAGAACUAGGAUAUUCCAAAUGGAUUCAAACUUGAAUCAAGGAGAAGUAACUCACUUUUUAAGAGCAAAUCCAUUCAAAAAAUUGAGACAAACUUCAACAACAACUAGAAACCCGAAUUGGAGUGAAACUAGUUACAAGAAAGCUUUCAGUAUAUAUAGCUUCUGACUCUUAAAGGUUAUGUCACUUGUCUGCUAUCUUCUUUAGUUUUUCUCUUUGAAAAGCUUUCUCCUCUCUUCUUAAUAGCAGUAAUAGAAAGAAAAUUCUUAGGCAAGGUGAUAAUGGGACGAGGAAUAGUGGGUGAUAUUAUCACUAGCCUAAUCCUUUUCUACGGGUUGAUUUCGCAAUUGGUUCCUGAUUGUUUCACAGAAUGCAUUGAGCUUUGGCAAGAGAGAUUGAAGAACUAUUUCUUUCCUAGCAUUCGUAUCAUAUUCAACGAAUUCAAUUCUAGCCUUUGCUAUCGUAGCAUUGCAUAGAUUGCUAUAGAGUACUACCUCAGUUCUAAAUCUGUUGCAAGAGUUACCAAACUGAAAGCAGAAUCUUUAAAGAGAAAGGGGCCUCUUCUAUUUUCUUCAGACGAUUACGAGGACGUUGAGGAUGAGUUUGAAGGAGUCAAGGUUACAUGGUAUAAGGGGAAACAUUCUCCUGAGAAGAAGAUAAUAUAUAAGCACCCUCCUGAUGAUAAAAAUUAUUACACUCUCAUCUUUCAUCCCAAAUAUCGAGACAUUAUCAUGGAGCGAUAUUUGAACUAUAUUUUGCAAGAGGGUAAAGCCAUAAAAAAAAAAGAGGAGGCGCUUUACAUGAAUGAUGGUGACGAUGUGCUUUGGGAUUAUACAUGGUUGGAACACCCUGCAAGCUUUGAUUCUUUUGCGAUUGAUUCUGAGAAAAAAAAGGAGAUAAUUAAUGAUCUUAUUGCAUUUAGUCAAGGAAAAGAAUAUUAUUCAAAGAUUGGCAAAGCUUGAAAACGUGGUUAUCUCUUGUAUGGUCCUCCAGGAAUUAGUAAGUCUAUCUUGAUUUUAGCACUGUCUAAUCUUUUGGGUUACAAUAUAUAUGAUCUUGAGUUGACUACAAUUAAGGACAAUGCCUAAUUAAAGAGUCUUUUGAUUAAUUCAUCACGUAAAGAGUAUUUUUGUGAUCGAGGAUAUAGAUUGUUCACUUAAUAUUGCGGGAAAACGUAAAAUUAAAAAAGAAGAUUCUGAUUCUGAUUAUAAUGAUGAAUAUAAAAGUAAAAAUAAAGUUACAUCAUCAGAAUUUUUAAAUUUUGUCGAUGGAAUUUGGUCUGCUUGUAGUGGAAAAAGGAUUAUUGUGUUUACGACCAAUCAUGUUGACAAACUUGAUCCAGCUUUGAUCCGAAGGGGAAGAAUGGAUAUGCAUAUCGAAUUAUCUUAUUGCACUUUAGGAGGGUUUAAGGUGUUGGCAAAGAAUUAUUUGAACCUUGACUCACAUUCUCUCUUUGAAAAAAUUGGAAACUUGUUGGAAGAAGUAAAUAUGACUCCAGCAGAAGUUUCUGAGCAUUUGAUAUGCGGCAGAGUGGGAAGAGAUCCAAAGGCCUGCUUGGAAAGCUUGAUAGAAGCCCUUGAAACUGCCAAGGAAAAGAAGAUCAAUGAGGAGGAAAAAGAUGCUAAAGAAAAAGGAGGAAUAAAAAGCAUAAUGCCUGCAAGGAAGAGACGACCAAUGAGGAGGAAAAAGAUGCUAAAGCAAAAGGAGGAAUAAAAAAGGUCCAGUUAAUAGAUUUUGGUUAAUUAAUUAUUUCAGAUUUUGUUUUUUUGCUUUUAUUUACUUUUAAAUUUCUACCAAGGUUGAGACUUAAGAGCCAACCUGAACUUUGUAGUUAAUUUUCAAUUCUAUUAUUAUUCUAUAAGGAUUGUUAAUUUUGUUUCUUUUAUACCCUGGUUUGCCAUUAUUAUAUUAUUAUAUGCUAGUACAUAAUUACUUAUAAUUAAUAUAGUACUUCCUAAAAUUUAUUAAUGAUUAUAAAUAUGAUUUUAAAUUUUAACUUAUUAAUUUAAUUUUUAUCAAUAAUAUUCAUAAAUAUUUUUUUUAAUUUCUUUAUUUCGAAUUCCAAUUUAAGUUUUUUUAUAAAUAUUAAUAAUCAAAUUUUCAUAUUUUUUUUAAUUUUUAAUCGAAUUCAAGUAAGUAAUGAAUAGUUAAUUUUAAUCGAAAAUAUUCUACUCAUCAUCAUUCCCUAAAAUUAAUGGAAGCAUAUUUGUGCAGUGUUGUAAAUUGACCUACCCUUGAGAUGUAAAAAUAUAAAAAAAAAAAUAUUGAAUUAAUUAAUAUAACAUUACAGCGGAGAUAUGAAAGCCUCACUAUAGCUAUUGAGCAUGUAAACUACAACAAUCAUCCACCUGGAAUUUUAUUGAAUCCAAUGGAAUGGAUAUAUGAACACCAGUUUUAAAUUGAAUUGAAUAAUCAAAGUUAGUGAAUGUAAGAACAUGAGUCCAAAGAAAUAUAAGACGUAUAUAUUAAACUGAUAGAAGUGAAGUAAAUAGCUGAAAUACAUGGAGAAGCUUUAUGAAGUUGCCUUAGCUGUUUUGCAACAUCAGUUAUCGUUGGAUGGUCUUCUGGAUUUUCCUUGGUGCAACUAGGUACUAUGUUUGCAAAAGCUACCAAUUCAUCACGAUUGAUUCCUUCACUUGAAAUAUUUUGAUCCACAAUUUCAAUUAACCGAUUGCUUUCAACAUAGGACUGCACAAAUUCUUCUACAAUGGCAUCCUCUGCAGCAUAAUAUUGAGAAGCAUUGUUUGUUCCAGUCAAAAGCUCAAACAAGAGUCUGCCAAAACUAUAAACAUCAGCUUUUUCAUUUAUUUUUGAACCUUCCCAAACUUCUACCGCCAUAUACCCUGUUAUCCCUGAGAUAGCAUCUUCUACAUGGGAUUUGCCCUCUGGAAUAUGGCUAUGGAGAACGAGAACUCACUAAGCUUAGCAACAUAAUUUGAAUCCAAUACUAUUAAUAUCAGUGAAAGACCUCGGUGAAUAAUGGGUCUGGAUAGAGCAGUAUGGAGAUAUGCAACUGCAGUAGCUACAUCCAUUGCGAUUCUUAUUCUAGAUUUCCAUGUUAAUGGCUCAGGCUGCCCCUCAUGAACUUCACAUAUACAUUUCUCGACCAAAUUCAUAAACAAGAACUGUGUUUUGAGUCUCUAAGCAGCAUCCAAUGAGUUUUCGAACAUUCUUGUGAACAAGAAAUGAACAUGCCGGGAAAUCUCUUGUUCAACAUUGCAACCAUCUGUUGCUUUGCUCUGCUCCUCAGAAGAGAAAGUGCGAAUAGGAGUACAUUUACCAUUACACGAGGCAAUGUGUGUAAUCAAUGCCAAACUCUUAAACACAAAUUUUAAAAAUCGAAUGAAGCUGAUUGAUAUUGAGCUUUGAAUUUAAGAUCUUUGUUUCUAAAUUUAAUUUAUGUAUCAGCAAUUUAAUAAUUGUAAGCAAUCAGAUUUAUAUCAAGUCUAUGCCUUCAACUAGAACAAGCUAAACAACUAAACUGAGCCUUUGAUGAAGCCCGGAAGAUUGCCAAUUUGAGUUUAUUUUCUAUUUGUGAUGGACCAGGGGCCUUAAGAAUGCAAUGAAUUAUUUCUCAAUUUGAGUUACUUUAUUUUCUUGGUUGAAUAUCUGCAAAUGUUCUGCAUAAUGAACCUUGCCAUAUCCUUCUUUCAACCAGAUGAGAGUUCCAACAAGGGAAUCUAGAAUUUUAUUACCAUAACAGUCUUCUCUAGCUGCUUCAGCUGAAAUUGUUAUCUCUAAAUCAAACAGAUUUAAGAGAACUAGUAAACUAAUGAAUUUUGAUAGUAAAAUGCUAAAAUCACAACCAUACUUUUGUUUGACUUAAUUUACAUUUCCCUAGUGGAGCAACUCACUGACUUUCUUAAAACAGCAUAAUCUUACAGGCAGGUCAAGGUUCAUAAAUAAUGGCUUAGAGGCUGGGGACCUAUGCAUACAAAUACAACUACAGCUUUCAAGAUUUUUUCAGCUACUGAGUAAUAAUAUAGCUACAUGGGGCUAGGCUAACAAGGUGAUGGAAAAGACUGAUCAAUUCGCCUGAGUUCUUUGGCAACCUCAAUCAUUGUUGGCCUCUGUUCUUCAUCAUAAGAGGUGCAUCUAAGGAUAAGUGUUGCAAAAUCCUGCAACUGCUUCAUAUCAAUUCCUUCAUUUUUUAUUCUACUGUCGACACCAUUAACGAGCAUUUCAACAUGCUUCUGAUCACUACAACGCGUCGCAGUAUACAAAACUGUCUGGUAUCCACUUAAAAGCUCAAUUAGAAGCAAUCCAAACUGAAAUACAUCAACCUUCUCUGUUAUAUAACCUCUAACACAAUAUUCAGGUGCAACAUCCAAUGUUCUCCGUGUAAGGGGAUCCUCUAUGUCUGAUUUCCCUUCAGGAAUAGAUACACUCAGUCCAAAGUCGAUGAGUUUGGGAACAUUGUUCUGAUCCAAAAUGAUGUUUGAGCAAUUAAUAUCUCGAUGGAUAACUGGUCUAGAAAAUGCAUUGUGGAGAUAUGCAAUUGCAUUUGCUAUACCUAUUGCAAUUUUCAACCUGCAUUUCCAUCGUAGUGGCUCAACAUUAGUGGUAGAAAUACACGUGGAAAGGAUUUUUGUGCCAGCAAAUUCAUAUACUGUAGUUGGUAUUUCGGUCUCCAAGCAGCAUCCUGUAACCUUUAAAACAUUCUUGUGAACACUCAUUUGUGAUCCAAUAGCAAUAUCUUUGUAAGCAUUGUCUUCAGAACCCCAUAAAUAGCCGUACUUCUUAACAAAAAUCAGACGGUCAUUUAGAGAGCCUUUGUACAACUGAACCAAAAUCUUCCACAAAAAUCUGGCGUGGAUCAUAGUUGUUUGUUGCUAUCAGAAGCUCUUUUGCAGAGAAAUGGCGGAUAGGAUUAGAUUUGCCAUUACAGAAGGUAAUAAGCUCUUCUAAUAAACGCCCUCCAUUUUUUAUGAAAAAUGUCUGAUUAUCUUCAUAUCUCUUCACAUUGAAACAUGCAAACAUCUUGCCUAAAAGUAGAACUUUAUAUCAAUUAUACAAACAGGAUGGUAAAAGAGAUAUGUAACUGAGAAUUUUCAAAAACAAAUCAAGAUAAAAGGAAGCACAAGAUCCAAGAAGUCAGUCUUGCAAAUUGAACCAAAUUUGAUGCAAGGAAAACCUGUAGCAGUUUUUGUUGCCUGCACAUAUACAAACAUGAAGGGAAAGGGGAGCUAUAGAGGGGAUAUAAGGUUUACAUGUGAAUGUGAGAAAAGGGAGCUCUCAUGGCUGUCCAAGAGCUAUUGGCAGUAGCCAUGAUUGAUGUAAUUUCACACUUGGCUUAUCAACAAAAAUGUAAAAGUUGGGUCACAGGAAAUACCCAUCACACUUGGCUUGUCUUCAGUAAAUGCAUGACUUUUGGUCUCACAACAGAUGUGAAAACAAGAAAAUGAAACUACAUGACUUUUGUUUGAAUGAAACAUACUAACAAGAAAAUGUGUUCAAGAAGAUUACGCUUAGUUGAUUGUCUCUGGUCUUUAUCUAGUGAUGUUGACUUGAAUAUGGAAGAGCCGUAAUUUCAUGUUUAUAGCAACAUUUCACCAGAAGAAGAUGCAUGAGGAAAAGGUUAUACAGUAUAUAACUUUUCAUGAGAAAGCAGAAGAAGAAAGAAUGCUUCCUUUUAUAUAUUAAAACUAUUAAAACCGUGAACCACUCUUUUGAACCAUACAUGCAGUGUAUGAACAUCCUAUGUGAAGAUUUUGCUUGAGUUGCCAUUGCAAGAUAUAUUUUGUCUGAGUUAAUUUUCUUAUAAUUCACUAUUCUUUGCAAGACUUGUUCCAAGCUUCAAAAGAUUCUUGAUAAGGCUAUUUAAGAAUCUAGAGACUUAAUUCAAAAGGUUAGUAUCAUAAAAUACAGAGUACUUAGAUUAGAUCAGCUUAAAUAUAUAGAAACGGAGGAGUUCUUCUUUCAGGAAAAAGAAAUCAGUGUUAAAUUGGAUUGGGGCAUGAAAUGGUACCUGCAGAAAUAUUAGAAACCUCUAUGGGGGCAUGAACCGGUAUCUGUAAAUGCUCAACUCGAAACUCAAGUCUAGAAAUUGCAGAAGAAUUGGAGGGAGGAAACUUGCAGGGUGCAGCAGAUAUAGAUACAAGUCAUUCCAGGAUAUCAGCAGAACUUCUCCAUAUAUGAGAAGAAGUGCAAUGCUUUGAUUGAAAUUGUCAAAGUCAUACACGUGAGAGUUGAGACUUCCAAUAAAAAAACAGGCACAGAUUUGAAGGCUUCUGUCUACAAACAUUACCUAACUCUUAGACACAAAUUUUAAAAAAUUGAUUUUAGAACUUUCUGUUCAAAAUUCUAUUCCAGGUCGCAAAAUCAGAUAGCAAAAGCGUUGACUCACCACCUUCGACUAGUGUUUUAACACACUAGUAUUAUCUGGUAUAUAGUGUUCACCUUCAGGAACAGAUACAGCUAGCUGGUAUAUGGUGUAUUGACUUGUUUCUCAAUUUGAGUCACUUUAUAUUCUUGGUUGAGUAUCUGCACUUGUUCUGCAUAAUGAACCUUCAUUCAAUCAAAUAAGAAUUCCAACAAAGGAAUCUAAAAUUUUAUUACCAUGAAGGUUUCUCUAGUUGCUCCAGUUGAAAUUUGUGUCUCUAUUCAAACAGAUUUUGAAGAAUUUGUAAACUAAUGAAUUUUGAUACUUAAAAUCCUAAAAUCACAACCAUACAUUUGUUUGACUUAAUUUACAUUCCCCAGUGGAGCAACCCACUCACUUUCUUAAAACAACAGAAUCUUACUGGCAGGCUGAGUUUCAUAAAUCUGCUUUGAGUCUAGAGAGCCAUGACUACAAAUACAACUACAGCUUCCAAGAUUCUUUCAACCAAAUGGGAAUAGCUUAGGAAGGUGAUGGAAAACGCUGAUCAAUUCGCCUGAGUUCUUUGGCAACCUCAAUCAUUGUUGGCCUCUCUUCUUCUUCAUAAGAGAUGCAUCUACGGCUAAGUGUUGCAAAAUCCAGCAGCUGCACCUGAUCAAUUCUUUCAUUUUUUAUUCUACUAUCAAUAAAAUUACUGAGCUUUCCAAAACAAAGCUUCCCAAUAUCCGUUAUAUCAUGCUUCAUCAUAAAGUAAGCUGCCUUCUGUCCACUUAAAAGCUCAAAUAGAAGAAUUCCAAACUGAUAAACAUCAGCCUUCUCUGUUAAAUAACCUCUACCACCAUAUUCAGGUGCAAGAUACCCCAUUCUCCCUACAAUAACAUCCGCCUCUACAUGUGAUUCUCCUUCAGGAAUAGAUAUACAUAAGCCAAAAUCAAUGAGUUUGGGAACAUUGUUCUGAUCCAGUAUGAUACUUGAGCAUUUGAUAUCUCGAUGGAUAACUGGUCUAGAAAAUGCAGUGUGGAGAUAUGCAACUGCACUUGCUAUACCUAUUGCUAUUUUCAACCUGCAUUUCCAUGGUAGUGGCUCAUCAUUAGUAGCAGAGAUACAUGUGGAGAGGAUUUUUGUGCCAGCAAAUUCAUAUACUGUAAUUGGUAAUUCGGUCUCCAAGCAGCAUCCUAUAACCUUUAAAACAUUCUUGUGAACACUCAUUUGUGAUCCAAUGGCAAUAUCUUUGGGUGCUAAAUCACCCCAAAGACGGCAGUUGUCAUACUUCUUUACAAAAAUUGGACGGUCCUUUAGAGAGCCUUUAUACAAUCGAUAACCAGCAUCGUGCACAAUAAUCUGGCGUGCAUCGUAGUAGUUAGUUGCUCUCAGAAGCUCGUUUGUAGAGAAAUGACGGAUAGGAUUAGAUCUGCCAUUACAGAAGGCAAUAAGCUCCUCUAAUAAAGCCCCUCCAUUUUUUGUGAAAAACUUCUGAUUAUCUUCAUGUCUCUUCACUUUCAAACAUGCCAACAUCUUGCCUAAGAGUGGAACUUUAUAUUAAUUAUACAAACAGAAUAUUGAGCAAAAAAAAAAUUAUACGAACAGGAUAGUAAAGAAAAAGAAAAUUGAUUAAAAAAAUAUUUCCUUCUCUAUAUGGGAUAACCUAUUAUUUCAGUUUUAUUUUCUUUUGUUACUUCCAAAAAGAAAAAAAAAAAAACUAUGUUUCAGUUUGAUGCAUAGCAAUCAAGGUAAUAAAAAACUAACAGAUCACUGACGCUGCAGUAGUAAGGACCCUGGACCCUGAAUAUGUUGUUGGAAACAAGAGAUUUUGAAACAUGAGUAUUAUAUUUGGAUUGAGUUAAUCAAUGUUAGUUAAUAUAAGAACAUGAGUCCAACAAAAAAAAAAAGAUGCAUUGAACUGAUAAAAGAGAAAUAAGUAGCUGAAUAACAAAAACGAAACCAUGAGGAGGAAGAAGAAAAGUGCACCUGGGAAGUUUGAAUAAUAAAUCAAGAUAAAGGAAGCACAAGAUUAUCUAAGAACUCAGUCUUGCAAAUUGAACCAGACUUAAUGCAAUGAAAAGCUGAGCAGUUUUUGUUGCCUGCACAUAUACAAGUCUUUUAGGUCAACAGACAAAUAUCCAACAGUAGUCUUAGACUUGAGAUAAAAUACUGAGUGGUGACGUUGUAAUACCCCUCACAAAGUAUUUAUUAUAAAAAAAAAAUAAAUUAAAAUUAUUAAUUAUAGUUUUAUAAAGAUAAUAAGUAGAUAUUAUUUUAGUAUUUUAUUUAUUUACAAUUAUGACCUUGGGUGUCUUAAUAAUUAGAAAAUAGAAGAAGGGUCUUUAAGUAAAAGAAGAAGUUUAAUUAAGUCAGUUUUAUUAUCACGUUUAAGUUAGUGGAGUUGGGUAGUUUACAAGUUUUAAAAGAACAGACAGGAACUCACGUCAGUUUUUUCAUCAGACUUAAACAAUAGGCAGUCAGAAGAGCUUGAUAUCAGGGAAGAAGAAAGACAGAGGAGAGGGAAAGAGAUUGCUGAUUAAGGUAUGAUUAGGGUUAUAUUUUCAUAGUUUGAGAACAAAAGCUCUAAAUUAUUUUAUGUUUCCUUAAUUUUGUUUCAAUUUUGGUACUAUUUCGAUG
rnacentral:lncRNA from 1 species